AAAUUGAAGAGUUUGAUCAUGGCUCAGAUUGAACGCUGGCGGCAGGCCUAACACAUGCAAGUCGAACGGUAACAGGAAGCAGUUUGCUGCUUCGCUGACGAGUGGCGGACGGGUGAGUAAUGUCUGGGAAACUGCCUGAUGGAGGGGGAUAACUACUGGAAACGGUAGCUAAUACCGCAUAA
rnacentral:rRNA from 1 species